CUUAGGAUAACCGCCCUUAAACCGAA
rnacentral:tRNA from 4 species